AGUACAUUUUGGUUACUGAGACCCUCGAAUUCCCAUGUGAAUUGUAGCAGCAGCUCAUCAGUUUCUGCAGAGGAGCCCGCUGGGAUUGUGAUCGAGACCACGUUGACUAUACGGAUCACUCUGGGGAGCACUACCAUCCCAAGAGCGCUCUCUUGUGAUCCAGGAAUGUGCGUGGUGUGUCUGUCCAGGUGCCCUCACCUCCCGUGGCAUCCAUCCAGACACCAGCACUGACACUGGCCGUGCUCAGAACUGCCUCAGCCCUGAAAACACAAAUGACAACUAGAAGGGGGCCAUGCCCUGUGACAGCAGGUGCUCUCACUUUGUGGGUCCUUAUGUAACUUCCGGUGUUAUUCAGGAUCGCCCGUUCUACACUGUGUGGCGCUGCUGCGGUGUCUCCUAGUUACUUGUUUCUGAUCUGAGAAGCAGGAGCAAGGAACUCAGGGAGAGAACCAGGAAGACUUCUGACUGUGUUAAGAGACGACAGUCACAGCGACACGGGGAGUGAAGACACUUGCAGCAAAGUAAAAUGACUUCACAACUGUUGCAUCAGAGCUGCAGGUGUGAGAGAGCCUAAGCCUGUCUCAGAGUUCAGGGGACAAGGGGAAAGGAAUGUGUAAGAAUGCCGGUGACUGAGUUAGAAGCACGCUUCGAAGCUGUCUGUGUCCUUGCCAUUCAGAAGCAGAGCCUGAAAGCUUCCGAAUUUCUCCAGAAUUCGGUUUACUUUCACCUUCGACAGUUGAG